CCUUGGGCCGCGGCGGGGCCGCCGCCUGCCCCCGCAGCCUGCGCGGGGCUGCGGCAGCCUCCUGUGCGGGGCACGGCCUUGGCCGGGGCGCCAGGCGUUGCUCCCGUGUCGCCCAGGCCUGCGGGCAGGAGGGGGCAGCCCGAAGCCAGCUGCAGCGCCGGUGCCGCGGGUGCCCGUGGCAGGCAGCCCAGCCCGCAGCCGCUGCGAGCAGUCCUUGACACCGCAGCGAAAUGGCAGCUGGGCAUGGGGUUGCCAAGAGGGUAGUCUCGGGCGGGCUGCAGGCAGCUGUCAGGCUCUGAGGCGCAGCUGUUGGCACAUGCACCAUCGGGGCUGGUGUGGGGCGGUCACGGCAGGGAGCUCGGGGCUGCAGGACGGGCCCGGUCACUGCUGUCACUUGAAGGCUGACACAGUCGUGCCUCUGUUAGGAUCGCGGAGCUGGUUCUGCUGGCAUCGCCUGGCACCUCAGAGCAGCCUAUGUCAGCAGAUUUGGAAAAAAAAUGUAGCUCUUGAAGCAACAUAUUCCCCAGCCUUCUCUUCAUGGUUAACAGAGUUAUUUAAGUUGCAUGUGCUAUAUUCAGACUGGCGAGUAGAAAGACACAGGAGACCACCUUAAUCUUUGAGGGGUUUCACACGAGACAGACAAGAUGCAGGGAGAGGAGCCACGCAGCAGAGGGUGAUGGAGGAGAGGAGCAGAGCGCGGUGAGGAGCUGGGUUGGUGCAAAGCCCCGAGGGAAGCGGGAGAUCUGCACGGGAGGUGACUCGAGCAAGGCAGCACACAGGGCUGGAUGUGGCAACCUGUGACCAUCAGAGGCCAGACAGUUUUGCAGCCUUGGAGCAGUGGAGCAGCAUGCCAACGGGCCAUCUGUGGAGAUGACACAGGCGUCAGCCAG